CCACGCUUUAUCAUCCAAACACAGAUAGACCCACCUUUGUGUGGAAUGACAUCAUCCUCUAAAUAUACAUUAUCAUGAUGUGGACGUACAAACGUAAGCCUCUGAAAACUAUCGCUAACUUAAGAUUCACCCAAAAACAGCAACUAUUUCACAUUUGAACGUUGUGUAGAAUUUAUUUAUUCAUUUUUCUGAAGAGACUCAACAUGCAGCAGCAUGUUUAAGUUGGUUUAUACUGAAAGGAAUAUCAUAAUAGUUUAAUUUCUGAUGAUGUAGAAAAAGUCUUUUACACUGAAAAAGCAGCAAGUCCUCCAAUUCUCAGACAGAAGACGGUUGUGGUUGUCCCACACGCUCUGCUCCAGUUGCAUGAAUGUUGACAUGGUCAGAUAUUAAACACAGUGUCUACUCUUCUUCUCUGUCUCAUUCCUGGCUCCCCCACCAGCAUGCAGCACCUUUAUUGGAGGUAGAGCGGUCGUCCAAUAACCAAAAGGUUGCUGGUUCGAUUCCCCCCUAUCCUGAGUCUGUCCAUUGUGUCCUUGGGCAAGACACUUAACCCACCUUGCUUUCAGUGUGUAACGGCCACUGGUGUAUGAUUGUGAGUGUUGUGUAGUGGUGGUCGGAGAGGCCGUAGGCGCAAAUUGGCAGCCAUGUUUCUGUCAGUCUGCCCCAGGGCAGCUGUGAUUACUAAGGUAGUUUAUCACCAUCAAGGUGUGACUGUGUGAGUGAAUGAAUGAUGUAUCCGAUGUAAAGUGCUUUGAGGGUCUCUGAUAAAGCGCUAUAUUAAAUCUGUGCAUUACUAUCAUUAGAAGUAGUAGUAGUAGUAGAAGUAGUAGUUGUAGUAGUAUUAGUAGUAGUAUUGUGAAGUUUGGAUUUGUAGCAUUUACUGUGAGCAGUUGUUUUCUGGUUUUGGUUGUUUUUAAUGCAUUUGAUGUUUCUGCUGCUGUUUUUUUUUUUUUUUUUGCAGCACAUUUUCUUUAUCUACUGUGAGUUUUCACUGUCACAUUUGCAGGAAGAUCAUUUGUGCCUGUUGCAAGUUGUCUGCCCGCCCUUGCCAGCCACCGUAGAGACCACCCCUCUGCUUUGCAUCUGCGUCUCGCUCUCCUUGUUGACUCCCUUUACAUUUAAUCUGCAGCAGAGAUGAGAGUCUAAUCCUGUAAUUAAAGCUCCUGUGAGGAACUUUCUGUCUGUGUUGGCGUUGGUGCCCCCUGUGGACAAAGUGAUAACUCUCGUAAGUGCUUUUGUACAUCAUAAACACUCAUCAUAGUUCAUCUCAGUCUGUCAAUCAAGAACUGCUCACAAGAGCAUUGAUGUCUUCGUCUGCUUUAAAGUCCUGGCUUGUGUAGAAAGUUACUAAAUAAUUGAACUGCAAAACAUUACACCUAGACUACUGUGUGCAACUUAAUUUCUGCAUAAUGUUUUCAUAAUUCUGUACAGCUACUAUCGCCAGGCUAAGAAUAAAAGCUGUUGAAACAGAAACAAACAAAAAAAAAAAGGCACGAAAGAAAAACUCACUCAGAAAAAAAAAGAUUAUUUUAGAAAGACAAAAUGCUAGGAGGUAUUUUUUUUUCUUAUAAAAAAUUAUUCUGUUUGAAUUGGUAAGUAACAAGACAGAUAUAUUUCAUAUCCUCCUUAAAAUAUCCCCCCAAAGAGAAAUAAGCCCCAUUAUCAUGACACCUGUUUGCUUUCGCCCCAGGUGUUAAAUCGGGUAAAUAGCACCAUCAAUUGCGAAACAGCGAACCACAAAUUUGGAGAUUGACAUCCAGAUUGACUGAAUCUUAUUAGACUGAGCGUGCUUUUUGCUGCAGGAGCUACGUAACCAAAAAAUGGUGGUUAAAACGGAUUUAAAUAUGGUCACUUUUGGCCCAGAUGCUCUGAGUGGGAAAAAUUUGAAUUACACAGCGCGCUUUAGACUUAUUAAAACAAACUAAAUUCAGAUUCCCAAACAAAGGUUUAUGUCCGCCACAUGUGGAUUAUCAAUGGAAAAGUAAUCCUGAAGACAAAAAUGUGCGCUUCCCAAAAAAGACUUGUGGAACAUCUGGGUUAAGCACUUCUACCACUAUUAAGGCAACUCUUCACUACAAUCCUUUGGAAAUAUAUAUUUAUAUACAAGGUAUUAAUACCUGCAGAGUGUUUUCAUGUCGCCAACCUCAGUUGUUCCUGCCGACAAACAUGUUUAUAAGUAGCAGAAACAUACAGAACGAUUCACAGCCAGAGCUUGUGGGGAUAAAUGUUUAUUUGUGUAAAAGGUGUCACCUUCUUAUUAGAGCCUAAUAAACAGUUUUCCACUCAGGUGAGCAGUGUGGACUAUUAUUCUCUGACAACUUCACAACAACACCAUAAACGAGGGGAAAUAAAAGAUUCCCUGUCAGAGAUCAAAUUAUCAGCUCACAUCGUAGCUCUUCAUUCUCAGUCCUCUGAUUUUUUCCACAUACUCCUUUCUGCUUCCCUCUUUAGUUUCUCUCUCUUUUCUCACCCUCCUCCCUCAUCAGAGGUGAAAAUUUACCCAAAGGGAGUCUCUCUUUCUUUCCCUCUCUUUUCUCGUGUCUUCACACCUUCCUCAUCAGCUCUGCCAAGUUUCCCCCAAAGGUGUGCCGCAGCUCGCUGACUAGCUGCAGGAAACGAUAGCAAGCUUGAGGCAAAUUUUAUCGCCUCUUCAAACUGUGUAUUUUCAGAACUGGAAGACGUCUGUCUUUGUUUUAAAGAAGUCUGUACUCAGACUGAGUUGGGUUAGCUGUAUUGUUUUUUUUACAUUUGCAAGAAGAAAUAAUCAAAUUACAAGUUUUCACCCCUGCAAAGACAUACUUUUGUUGGGUUUUUGAACUCACACAUAUAGUUUGAAAUAAAAAAAUAGCUGACAGUCUGAGUCUUUUCAAUAGAAGGACUUAUUAAGCGAGAAAGUCUCACUUUAACAGCCUUUGUCUUACAUUUGCUGGUAAACUUUUCAUUCUGCUUUUGUGACAUUCCUGCCCUCAAUGUAAGCAACACAUGAGUGUGGGUCUGUUAGAUAAUCGCUGAUGCAGGGGUUCUCUUUCAAACAAUCAAAAACAGUAGAAAAGACAAACGUAGUUGAAAAAUAUGGUGAUGGUGAAAUUUAUUUAGAGUCAGCUUUCCAGGGUGCAGUGCAAAAAUAUAGACAAAAAAAGGUGCAAAAAUGGUCAAAAUGCUAUUUACAAAAAAUGUAAAAGGCAAAAAAAAAAAAAAAAAAAAAAAAAAAAGACAAUGCCAACAAGGUUAAGGUAAGGUAAGAUUCUUGCUCAAGAAAAAUAACAAGCAACACAGCAGCAAUACAACAACAAAAAGAAAAAAAAAAAAAGGAAAAAAAAAAUUCAGUUCAGUAUAUACAUUUUUUAAACCCCCAUAGCCUCUCCCAGUGGGAGUUAUUAAUUACAUAAGUUUGGAAAAGACAUUUUAUUAUUUUAUUCACUUUUAAACCAUUUUAUCUCUCUUUUAACAUUCAGACAUUUUCUUUAUAUUUUUACCAUUUUAACUAAGUUUUCACAUAAAUCAAUGAAGCAUUAAUUUUUCGAGAUUCAUUGAAAACAAGAAGGGAUUUUUUUUCCGGCAACUUGUGACCACUUUUGCCCGCCAUACCCAUUUUUUUAUACCCGGAAAUCAUGCGCUCUGUUUCCUCGUUUCAAACCAGAAGCCGGCAUGGUGGUGUGAAUGGACGCGCUGCGGGUAAGUGGAGGAGUGGAUGUCUGUGUGAAUGUGUGUUUAAGUUAGCCGACAGAGCUCAAAUGUGCACCCUUUGUAACCCUAUCCAACGGAGAUGAUAGAAGGAGAAAAGGAGCUGUUUAGAAGGUGAUUGAAGACGGUGUCAGGGAAGGAAAUGUUUGGCGUGUAUUUGUGUGUCUGUGUGUGUGUGUGCGCGCGCGUGGCUCCGUGCGCUGCCCGCGGUCAGUGACGACGCCGCUCCACCACCAUGGCAAAAAUGACAAUCGUGAUUGUUUGGUUUGAAUAUCGGGAUUGUUAUAAAUGAUUUCUCAUGAGUUGGCAUCUGUAUCACUUCUAUUUGUACAACUUAAAGUCUCUGAAAUACUUUUUGAGAAAAUAUAGAAAAGGCAGUUUGGCCUCUCGGUCUGUCUAACUGGAUGAUCUUAUGUUAUAAAAAGUCACAUGAACUCCCACUGAGCAUUUUUUGGUCGAAAAGAGGUCUAAUAGAGGUCUAAAUGUAGCUUAGACGACUGGUCUAGAAUCAGGCUGCCACAGGUCUAAGAAUGAAAGUCUCUUUAGAUGUCUAAAUUUAGAUCAAGUUCAGACUAAACCUAAAUCUGAACUAUAUCUAUAGCCUACUACACUGUAUAUUACUCAACAGCUAUCAUAAUUAUUUUGGUUAAGUACUUGGAGAUCAGUUAUGCAACUCACAGUUGCUUUUUGAAAUAAAUAGUUAUUGAAUAAUGGGUUAAAGUGCAACAUCUAAAUUCUGUCUAAAAUUGUCUAAAUUCUGACAUCUAAUUGCCGUCUAUGGCUCAGUGGGUUACUAUAGAAAUGAACCAUGCAUCAUUUUUUUACUUUACUUUCAGGGUUUGACUUAAUUCUGCUGAUUAUACUCACAAAAGUAAAAGCUAGAUUUCGCUUGUAAUACUGAAAUCUUGAAUAGUAGCAGGACUGAAUGUUGCAUGUCGUAUUUUUACAGUCACAAAAAUAAGCAUUUGUGUUCUUUUACUGCUUACACUUUAUCACAGGCCGCAGACUGAAGAAACCAUUCAGUCUAUUUAAGCUUGUAUUUAAUGUGCUUUGUAACUUCAAGACUUCAGCUUGUAUUUUAUUCCGAUUCUUGACAAUGUGUCUCAUUUUCAUCCAGUUAGCUCAUUGUCCCUCAUGCACAUUGUGAUCAUUCUGUCCUUUGGCUAUUCAGUCAAACAUGGAAACACAACCACCUGCCUCCUGAUGAUGUUGGUGGCUCUCCUGAGGCAGUAAGAGCUGUGAAGGUCCUCCAGUGUGGGCCCUCUCCCUGCUCUCCUCUCUCCACCUGUGGCUGCUUGAUAGUUUGUACAUCUGUUGCUCAACAUGUUGAAGAUUCAGUUGUCCACCGUUAAUCUCAGUGGGAGCAGCAACUUCCUUGCUCUCCAAAACUUUGUUUCUCAUUGAUCUUGCUUCUUGUGAUAAAGUGAAAGUGAGAGCUGUUUUAGGGGAGGGGCCAUAACCUCGCUCUGCUGUUAAGUAAGAGAGGGAGGGUGCACUUUAUUCAUCAUAAAGGACAGAAUGGGGGCAACACAGCAGGCGACGGGAUAAUUGUCCAAUCUGGAUUAUCAUAUUUUUAUAAUUGUGGGGGGCCAUAAUCAUAAUUGAUAUUGCCUAACUCUACCUUGUACCCACAGAGAAGCCCACCAGUGUAGCCCAAUAUGCACCUCCUCAAAAUAGUUCCUUUACCUUGAAACAUUGUUUUUAUUGUAAGCCCUGUGAUUGGUCUGCACUUGGAUUUGCUCACCUUGGUUUCCUGUUUACCUACAAGGAGGGAGGGAACUUAGCAGGACAAGAAACUGACGACAUAAUGAGCACAGACAUGACACUGCUGACUUUCUUUUAGUGGAGCACUGCAGAGCAAUGAAGAUACUCAAAUGCAAGUGUGUGUCUACGUGUUAAAAGCGGAGCCUAAGUGAAGACAUAAAAGAUUUAAGUUAUCAUUCAGAGUGAAAUCAAGGUGUGUGGAGCAUAACAGACAGCUGAAAUUAAAAAUAUACACUCCUAAGACGUUACGUGAUUGAGUGAUUCUCUGUAAAUUACCCCCAAACUGAAGCUGCACCAAGCCAGUGAUAUAGAAGUGGGAUGUAACUACAAGAAUUGGACACAAGCUUAAUGAACGGGACCUCAAAGAUCAGCCCCCUGCCUUCAGGGCUGCGGCAUGUAUGUGUUUGUGUGUGUGUUUGUGUGAGUGUUUGUGUGAGUGUGUGUACAGUAUGUCCUCAGGCUGAAGCAGGUUGAGGAAAUCUGUAUUCCAUUAACUGGUUUAGCUUCAGACCCAGCCCUCCUCUCACCCUGUUUUUGGUGCACUGAUGCUCUCAACCUGCUGCACAGCCACAUCUGGCUGUUCAAAGGCCCCGAUGUGUGCUUGUGUGUGCAUGUGUGUGUGUAUGUGCGUGUGUGUGUAUGUGCUAAGGUAUUUUCCCAGCAGCUGCCUGCAAUCUCCACAGAGCGCUUUGGUGUCUCUCUCGCACACAAAAAUGCACGAGCACACAUCAUUAAAAACCAUUAGUUGCUGUGAAACACAGCUCCCCUCAUGCCUGAAAGCAGUACUGUGUGUGCAAUGUGUGUGUGUGAUUGUGUGUGUGUGUUUUCGUCAUGAAGGAAUGCACAUGUUUAACCGUAAAAGCAAAGGUUAAUUAGGAGCAGACAUACUUGUUUUGUUGCUUCACAUUUGGAGUAAAGCAACUUGUUAAAGAGAGUAACAACUCAAAAUCCCUGUUUUUGAGGGGCCUUGAAUGUGCAAAGUUUUAACUUAGAUGUCCAGAAGGGUUUUUCUCUAAGGAGGAACCUUCUGGAUUUUUAGGCUGUCAACCAAUGUGAUCAAGAAACUCUGCAACAAUUGUGCAAUUUGUAAUGACAUUUUGGGAAGUCAUUUUACUGUUUUCCAGUCGUUUACAAGAGAUAUAGAGGUCAGGGUUAGGGUUAGGCUUCUUGCUCUUGGUUGUAUUGAUUUAUGUGUUGUGUGGGAUCCAAAACAUUCAGCUCAGAGUGGUCAAGAACUGGUGAUGUAAAGCUCCUGUGAGGAACUUUUGGUUUGUGUUGAUUUUGGUGCCCUUGUGGACAAACCGGUACCUUUCAUCUUCACUGAUUUGUCUUUAUUAUUAAAAUAUUUAAUGUUACACUCAUGAGGAUUUAUGUUCAUGCAAAAUUUAUUUCCUUCUUACAAAAAACCUCAUCAUGCUGACUUUUGGCAGCCAUAUUGAUCAUUUAUUGGUAAUACUUACCUGCUUGGCUGACAACAGGCUCCUUCACACCAGUAUCAGGUAUCAAAGAAUAUGAAAAAAAAAAUCAUAAGUUGUGUGGCUGAUGCUUCUGUUUACUUUUGGAUAUAAAAAGGCGUUAAUAUGAAUUUCCGUCUAUUCCAUAUAUGUCAAAAAAACUCCUCAGGGGAGCUUUAAUCCCUUAAGCUGACACCAGUACUGUGAAGUUUGAUGACUAUAGAUGACAAGAUAAGCAAAGUCUGCUCUGUUCAGAAGUGGUGCAAAAAUGGACACACAUGUUCUUCCUUUCCUCCUGAAAUAUCUUCUGAUCUACUGGAUGACUUUGUAUAAGAAUUUGGAGCAGAAAUGUGUACUAAUGAAGUAAAGACCAGGGACAUACUUGAACUUGCUUCUUCUCUCAUGCUAACAUGCCAGUAUUGUUAUCGUGUUUAUCGAAAGAGCACAUCCAAAGACAGCAAGGACCAUAAAACUCCAUGUAGUUUGCUCACUGUGUGAUAAAAUGUAAAGGUUCUAAUCAAAGCUUCAGAGAGAUAGUUUUAUUAGAUACUGAGAAAUUAAAAAGUACCUAAAGUAAUAGGUUUAUAGUAGCUUAAACACUUUUAAAAAGUGAGCAUAUAUAGAGAGAAAUGUUGGUGCCCCAUCUAUAUAGACACAAACUUUAUUGUUAAGUAGUAAUCGCUUUAGAUUCCCAUGCUUAUAGCUGCUACUUUUGUACUUCCUUCAUUUCCUCCUGCAUGUAAGAACUGUGAAAAUAUUUAUAUUUAGCCACAUGCCUUAUUCAUUAUUUAAGGAUUCAUGUUUUUAUAAACAUGAGAGAAACUGAAUUUUUAAUAAUCACAACUUUCACUUUUGGCCUUGCAGAAAAAGUCUGACAUUACAGUCUGCACCUGUGGCACAAACUUUCUCUCUGUGCCGCUGCAGCAAGACAAGAUUUCUGUAAGUGUGUUGCAUAACUAAUACAUCUGUGUGUGUGUGCAUGCAUGUGUGUGUGGUUGUUGGGUUCAUGCUGACUGUGAGACAGGACGUUCCGCGGGAGGACAGACCAACUGUGGCUGAAUCCACAGGUGCUAAGAGAGAGACAGUGUGCAUGUGUGAUAGUGACACACUCAGUAACAAAAAAAACAGAAAUAUUGAGUGUGUGUCUCUGUCAGAAGGUCAGCGUGUGUGUCUGUGUGUGUGUGUGUGUGUGUGUGUGUGUGUGUGUGUGUGUGUGUGUGUGUGUGUGUGUGUGUGUGUGUGUGUAUGUUUAUGAAAAAAAGUGUUUAUGAAAAAAUUAUUGCUGUAGUUCAGUUUGACCCUGAACCAGGACAAAGGGGGUUUCUGUGUGAGUCUUUGUGUUUGUGUGUGUGUGUCCUUGUGUGGACCAGAUAGAGCUCUACACCUUGACAGUAAGGCAUUGACAUUUGCUACAUAAUUAACAUGUUGUUGCUUAAUCAAGAGUCAUUUAUCCUAUUUUAUGAAGACAAUCCAAGUUCCCUUGUAACUCUUUUUUUAUCGAAUGCCGCUGCGUACACUCGAGACAAACUUGAUAGUCAACUGUUGAUCAUCAACUUGGUAGAAGAAAAGUGUGAACAGCUGAUUAAUGUACAGUUUGCAUUUCAAAACAGGCUCUCACUAGCUUCCUUUAUGUUUUGACACAUUAAACCUGAAUUUAAAAAUUGUAAAAGUCCAAAUACAAUUGAAGUGCACAGGCUUUUUGUAAAAUAAUAUAGAGAUAAUUACAGUCACCAAAGCUGUAUAACUGUCCCUUUUAGUUGCUUGUGUAGGUAGUUUUUGCUGUUCUAAGGAAGCACACCAUUCAGCAGUGACGUCUUUGGGUUGUUUUUGUUUUUUUUUCUCCUCCCAAAACUGAAUUGAAGGCCGUUUUUGCACAGGAGCUACAACAUGAAUACUCUUAACAGAUAAAUCUGUAACAUAAAUGCGUUUCUCACAACACUCUGAACAUCUUAGUGAUUUAAAGUAGUUUGCUUUCAACAGGUUUUUGUAUUGGGAAGGACAUUGGAUACAUUUGAUGUGUUAUAAUGCAGAAGACAGAAAAAAAAUGGUUUCAAUGAAUUACUGUAUGUGGUGCCGUCUGUUUAAGCACGCCCCAUAAAAUCGAAGGUUGAUCGAGGGUUCGACUCCUGCUCCAGGUAUGAUUUGGUGCACAGCCUCCCCCUCUCCCCCCUUUCCUGUUGCUUUCAGGUUGUCCUAUGAAUAAAAACAAAAAAAACCUAAAAUAAUCUUAAAAUGAAAACUGAAAAAGAAUCACUUUACUGCCCUUUGAAAUUUGACUGUUGCAUUUUUCAUUGUGUUUUAUCAACCUUUCAAGAAUAUCAGAGAGGUAACAUCCAAAACCACUGAACAGCCUGAGUGACCUGAACAUAAUCUUUAUUUAUGUAAAAAAGAUUAUUGUAUCUUUUUUUGUUUGUUUGAUAAAAUCCAUCCUUUCUUUAACCGGUUCCUCUUGAAAACAGCGAGGCAGCUCCCUGCAUUGUAAGUGUCUGUACAGGUAAAGGAGUUCAAGUGUUGGAGCGCAUUAGCCUGAUUAUACCCGGUUAGGGGCAUAACACCAAGAACACAACCUUAAAAAAGACCCAUUUCUCCCAAGUCUCAAGCAGCCACAAUGACAAUUGAUUCAAAGUUAAUUCACAAGAACAUAUUCAUUAAUAAAAUUAUGAUAAUAUACCACAACAAAGAACUGGGUUAAACUAGCUUCAGGGUGAAUCAAGGCCCAAAAACAACAAACACAAUACAAUUACUCACCUUCCUAACUAACAAAACAUAAGAAUAUGAUAUUAAAUAAACUGGCGAUUCACCCCUACAAAACCUAACAAAAGGUUAUUUGGCUGGUCGGGAGAGGAGGGAGAUGAGAUCCCAACUCCAAGUCUCUGAUGUCAUCUCUCAGCUGAUAAAGAGAAAACCCUCCUGACCCGGCCUAUCACCUGCAGAGUAGGAGACAAGCCGUCUGAUUGGCUAAGGGGAUUUUGGCGUCCCUAUUUGUGCCCACAUUUACACCAGCACUACUGAAUCAAACUACACACACCCCAAAAAGAAACACACAGCAUAACAUCAGUCAUAAAAAGGGAUAUGGACAAAAUUUAAGCACAGUAUAAUCCAACAUUAUCUAUUCUAAUUAAUGUCUAUGAGCAAUACUCCAGGUCUGCAGUCAUUUCAGUGAAUUACAGAGAGGAUAAUCAUUCAACAGGAUAAAACUGAGCCACACCGAUAAUUAUGAAAGUCUAAAUGUAAUUAAUGAGAAUUAUUUCAGUGUGGGAACUAAUGGUCAGCAAAAAGGAUCAACAGGAGAUUACACUGCAAUCUGCUCAAUGAGAAUACACAUUAAUACAGGCGCAGUCACACACAUUUACAGACACACACACACAUUCUCACACACAUAUUCUGAUUAGAUUUUUGGAAGCUAAGCUUUCCAACAAUAACUGACCUUUAGUUUAAAUAUCAGCACACAGAAGGUGCUCAGACUCACAGCUGCUAAAAACCAGACUCAGUUUAUUAAGACCUGCGUUCAUUAUAAGAGUAAAGAAGGAAAGUAAUGACUGAAAAUGUCCCCAAAACAGUCCAAAUCAAACUGAAUAAACUGUACAAAUGUUUUAAAUAACAAAGUUUGUGUACUAUACCUGUAGUUUCUGUCAGUAAAACACCUAAAAUGUAAAAAGUUUAUUUCACAAGUGACACAUUUAUCUGUCAUUUUACUCAAAUCAGUUUUAAACUCAGUUUGGUACAUCCUGGUGGUGCAUUUAAGUGUUUUUCUCUGUCAGGGUCAAAGUUCAGACUCAGGUGUGAACAGUCAGGUGUGUUGAAACUCCCUCAUGUCAGUCCUUCACCAUCCACCCUGUAAUACAUCUGAUUAAGCUUUAUUCAUAAAUUUAAACAACAUGAAUUAGGACUGAUGCAUAUUUUGGGAUUUGAUUUCAUAUUAUAGGGGAUUUCCAGCUCAUAUUUUAAACCCUUUUUCACAACUAGAUUACAGCCAUCUGUCUUUAUUUUGAAUUACACAGUUAACUCAAUGCCAGUGCUCUUACAUUAUUGACAUUUUCUUGUGUAUUUACUUCUUGAUCAGCAGAAACUCUGGUUAGGUGCUGUUAAAAAGCAAAAUAAUGAAGAUAAACAAACAAAGGCUCUCAAGUUUACUUGGAAGUAUAUAGGGCUGGGUGAUAUACCAAAAACACGCGGCGGGUAAGGUAGAUGACGUUAAUGUGGAAGGGAGUGAGCAGCUUGUGGAGUAGUUACCGUCCAUUUAUCGUUAUCGAGGUGAACUGCUCAAUAUAUCGUGAUAUUGAUUUGAGGCCAGAAUACUGCAACUUAAUUAGCUUACAGGUACAAACACCAUGUCAGCUGUGAGGAAAAGUGAUGUGUGGGAGUUUCGGGCGGCAGUAGCUCAGGAGGUAGAGCGGUCGUCCAAUGACCGGAAGGUUGGCGGUUCGAUUCCCCCUAAUCCAAGUCUGUCCGUUGUGUCCUUGGGCAAGACACUUAACCCACCUUGCUCCCAGUGUGUGUCCUCCACUGGUGCAUGAUUGUGAGUGUUGUGUGGUGGUGGUCGGAGAGGCCGUAGGCGUAGAAUGGCAGCCACGUCUCCACCACCACCAAAGUGUGACUGUGUGAGCGAAUGAAUGAUGUAUCCAAUGUAAAGUGCUUUGAGGGUCUAUAUGAAAUCUGAUGCAUUAUUAUUAUUAUUAUUAUUCCCAGAAUCACAGCUGGGAAUUGAAGACAGACUGCUGUUCUUAAGCUGACCAGUAAAAAAAUGUAUAAUUUAUGAGUACUUAACCACUCAUUCAUCAAGUAAUUAGACUUAAACAAGAGGAUGACUGGAAAUGCCCAUCCCUAACUGUAAUUGAGUUGAAUGUUAAGAAGUGUAGUUAAGUCUACUUUAUGGGUUACCCUAUACUUCACUAAAGCAUUCUGAAUUUGGAAGAAAUAAUCUGAACUUUUAACUCUGCUACAUUUCCAUUAAUGUUCUUGUUCUUGAAAAAGUAUUUCACACAUUUGCACAUAUAAAUUACAAUUUAACACGUUUAGCAGUUAAGUAAGUCACCUACUUUCCAUCUUUUACCAAUCACAUAGUUUAAACAUGAGAUUUUUUACACCAAAAAUUCACCAUCUGACAUUCUUAUGCAGCCGGCCUCAAGAGUACAAUGAGGGAACUGCGGUUUUUAGCACUUCUGCAUCGGCCCCUGAUUUGUAUAAUUGUAUUUGCUGACCACUAAUGCAAAACGUUGAGCCGUUUGAUCGCUUGAUUUCACUUGAAAAUGUUGCAAUUUCCUAUGGUAGUGUGGCAUUGAAGUUUUGAACCUCAAUUUUUACAUCUUUACUGCAUAUCAGCACAUUUUUACAGGAUGUAAUCAAAGUUACCUGACAGAUUCUGGUUCCAAACAGGGAGUGCACAGGAAGGAGGGCAGUGUGUGUGUAUAUGAGUUUAGACUCUACAGAUUAGACCCCCAGCGUCAGCUCAGGCAGUUGAGCCUGAGCUUUGUGACUGAAGUGGUUGUGUUCUUUUUAUACCGCAUCAGAGUACACACAUGCACUCACACACACACACACAUACAUAUACCACAAAGCGCAGACCUCAGCGCAUGUGGCCGGGAUGCAUGUGGUGGCAAAUGAAGCAGCUUCUCUUCAUCUGUCUAAGAGUGUUUAUGUUGAUUUGGGUUUGGUGUAAAGCAACAAAUCCCUGGUUCAGGCCUCACCCCUCUCUCUCUCUCUUCUUUUCACUAUUUUUACUUUUCCUGCCCUCUCUCUCUCUCUCUCUCUCUGUAGGUCACUCUGUGCCUCGCUCUCUCCCAGAAUAUCCCUUAACUUUUCUCUCUUUCUGUUUGCUGACUUGGCACUCCUGCCUUCCUUUUAAACCCCUCAGCACACACACAGACAUAGACACGCACACACACACAUACUGUACACACACUCCUCUCAACAUUGCACUUAAGCACAAUAGUUAUAUUCAAAUGUGCUCCCACAUGGCUGCUGUGAGUCGUCCGUGUCCAGUCAGCAGAAGUUGGACUCGAACACGCCAACCUACAUUUGAGGUUAAUAAAUCAUAAGAAGGUAAAAAUACUAAACUGUUAUGUUAUUUAAGACCAUUUUUAGGAUUUUAUUGACUUAUAUUUAGUCUUAGGCAGGACAAAGGGGGUUAAACAGAUAACCGGUUUCAUCACCAUUUCUUUAAGUUUAUUAAUAAUGAUUAAUGAGGACGCCUAAAUCUAACAACCAAAACUUUAAAACCUGCUGCAGUGGAAGGAGUGGUCUUUAGGAAGGAAGGAAAAUCAUGAUAAUCUGUCUGAUCUAAUUACUGGACAACACGAUGGAACCAACCCAAGACGCUAAACCCACUUUUCUAUCUUAGCCUUAGUCUUAGCCUUAAGAUCUAGUUUUUACAAAUCCUUUCAUACGUUUGUAGUACAGGUGGUUUUAUAGGUGUAACCAAUUUGUUUUAAUCACCAGUGGAUAAACCUGCACUCGCUGAGAGGACAACUUUCACUUGGUAAACAUGAGGAAGUGGCCUGAACUUGACCUCAGCUGUCUCCCUCCAGCUCUCUCUUUCUCCUUCUUUCUCUCUUUUACUCAACCAGUUUCCCUCUCUUUCCCUCCCUCUCUCACAAACACACACACGCGCACACACACACACAUACAGUACAUACAUACUGGAGACACCUGUGUAAACCAUCUGCUUGGCACCCGCCUCCUUAUCCCAAAAAACACCCAGGCUAUGGAUAACACACACACACACACACACACACACACACACACACACACACACACACACACACACACACGCGCGCACACACGUUGCCUUGUAGAACCAUCCACACUCACACUCUCUGACUCAAACCAGCCCAGA